AUUGAACGCUGGCGGCAGGCCUAACACAUGCAAGUCGAACGGUAACAGGAAACAGCUUGCUGUUUCGCUGACGAGUGGCGGACGGGUGAGUAAUGUCUGGGAAACUGCCUGAUGGAGGGGGAUAACUACUGGAAACGGUAGCUAAUACCGCAUAACGUCGCAAGACCAAAGAGGGGGACCUUCUGGCCUCUUGCCAUCGGAUGUGCCCAGAUGGGAUUAGCUAGUAGGUGGGGUAACGGCUCACCUAGGCGACGAUCCCUAGCUGGUCUGAGAGGAUGACCAGCCACACUGGAACUGAGACACGGUCCAGACUCCUACGGGAGGCAGCAGUGGGGAAUAUUGCACAAUGGGCGCAAGCCUGAUGCAGCCAUGCCGCGUGUAUGAAGAAGGCCUUCGGGUUGUAAAGUACUUUCAGCGGGGAGGAAGGGAGUAAAGUUAAUACCUUUACUCAUUGACGUUACCCGCAGAAGAAGCACCGGCUAACUCCGUGCCAGCAGCCGCGGUAAUACGGAGGGUGCAAGCGUUAAUCGGAAUUACUGGGCGUAAAGCGCACGCAGGCGGUUUGUUAAGUCAGAUGUGAAAUCCCCGGGCUCAACCUGGGAACUGCAUCUGAUACUGGCAAGCUUGAGUCUCGUAGAGGGGGGUAGAAUUCCAGGUGUAGCGGUGAAAUGCGUAGAGAUCUGGAGGAAUACCGGUGGCGAAGGCGGCCCCCUGGACGAAGACUGACGCUCAGGUGCGAAAGCGUGGGGAGCAAACAGG
rnacentral:rRNA from 1 species